rnacentral:rRNA from 1 species
CCAAUAGCGUAUAUUAAAGUUGUUGCAGUUAAAAAGCUCGUAGUUGAAUUUCGGGAUUGACGUGACGGUCGUGCCUUAAGGGGUAUGAACUGUUGCAGUCAAUUUCUCACCUUCUGGAGAAAUAUGAUGUCCUUAAUUGGGUGUCAUAUGGAACCAGAACUUUUACCUUGAAAAAAUUAGAGUGUUUAAAGCAGGCAUUUUGCUUGAAUACAUUAGCAUGGAAUAAUAAAAUAGGACGGCAUGAUUCUAUUUUGUUGGUUUCUAGGAUCACCGUAAUGAUUAAUAGGGAUAGUUGGGGGCAUUAGUAUUCAAUUGUCAGAGGUGAAAUUCUUGGAUUUAUUGAAGACUAACUACUGCGAAAGCAUUUGCCAAGGAUGUUUUCAUUAAUCAAGAACGAAAGUUAGGGGAUCGAAGACGAUCAGAUACCGUCGUAGUCUUAACCAUAAACUAUGCCGACUAGGAAUCAGACGAUGUUAAUUUUUUAAUGACUCGUUUGGCACCUUACG